rnacentral:rRNA from 1 species
AAGGUAUCUGUAGGUGAACCUGCUGAUGGAUCAUCG